rnacentral:rRNA from 1 species
GACGAACGCUGGCGGCGUGCUUAACACAUGCAAGUCGAACGAAGGGGCGAACGGGUGAGUAAUACGUGGUUAACCUGCUCUCCUUUUUGGGAUAAGCCUUGGAAACGGGGUCUAAUACCGAAUCAAGGAGGAUGGGUUCGUGGCCUGUCGGCUUGUUGGUGGGGUGAUGGCCUACCAAGGCGGUGACGGGUAGCCGGGCUGAGAGGGAGACCGGGCACAUGGGGACGGAGAUACGGCCCAGAGUCGGACGGGGGGGAGCAGUGGGGGAUAUUGCAGAAUGGGCGAAGGGCUAAUGCAGCGGCGCCGCGUAGGGUAUGAGGUCUUUCAGGUUGUAUAACUCUUUCGGUAUCGAGCGGGUAGGUGACGAGAAAGCGCCGGCUAACUACGUGCCAGCAGCCGCGGUAAUAC